GAUGAACGCUGGCGGCGUGCUUAACACAUGCAAGUCGAACGAUGAAGCCCAGCUUGCUGGGUGGAUUAGUGGCGAACGGGUGAGUAACACGUGAGUAACCUGCCCUUGACUCUGGGAUAAGCCUGGGAAACUGGGUCUAAUACUGGAUAUGACUUCUCAUCGCAUGGUGGGGGGUGGAAAGAUUUAUUGGUCUUGGAUGGACUCGCGGCCUAUCAGCUUGUUGGUGAGGUAAUGGCUCACCAAGGCGACGACGGGUAGCCGGCCUGAGAGGGUGACCGGCCACACUGGGACUGAGACACGGCCCAGACUCCUACGGGAGGCAGCAGUGGGGAAUAUUGCACAAUGGGCGCAAGCCUGAUGCAGCGACGCCGCGUGAGGGAUGACGGCCUUCGGGUUGUAAACCUCUUUCAGUAGGGAAGAAGCGAGAGUGACGGCACCUGCAGAAGAAGCGCCGGCUAACUACGU
rnacentral:rRNA from 1 species